UUGGCCCUGAACUACAGCCAGCAGUUUGCUGGAGCUGUUGGUUUCAAGCAGGAGCCUAAAGAAUUCUGUUUCUAUGUUCUGUUGGCCAUUUCAAAACUUUGGAAGUGUAAUGGUCAAUUCAUUGGAAAAAAACAUCU
rnacentral:snoRNA from 1 species